UACAAAUCAUCAUGCCCUUUAUGACCGGGGCUACACACGUACUACAAUGGAGGGUACAGAGGGCAGCAACAUCGCGAGAUGAAGCGAAUCUCACAAAACCCUUCUCAGUUCGGAUCGGAGUCUGCAACUCGACUCCGUGAAGCUGGAUUCGCUAGUAAUCGCGCAUCAGCCAUGGCGCGGUGAAUACGUUCCCGGGCCUU
rnacentral:rRNA from 1 species